GCACGCCGCGUGAACGAUGAAGGUCUUCGGAUCGUAAAGUUCUGUUGUCAGAGACGAACCAGUACCGAUCGAUAGGGCGUGCCUUGACUAAACCUGACGACAAAGCCACGUAUAACUACGUGCCCGCAGCCGUGCUAAUACGUAGGGGGCAAGCGUUGUCCGUAAUUAUUGGGGGUAAAGGGCGCGCAGGCGUAUAUGUAAGUCUGGUGUCAAAGCCCGGGCCUCAACCCCGGAUUGCAUCGUAAACUGUGUGAGUUGAGGGGAGAAAAGGAAAAUUCCAUUCCACGUGUAGCGGUGAAAUGCGUAGAGAUGGAAAACAACACCAGUGGGGAAGUCUCUUUUUUGGUCUGGAACUGACGCUGAGGAGGGAAGGGGAGGGAAGAAAAUUAGAUUACAUACCCUGGCACGCCACGCCCGAAACGAUGAAGGCUAGGGGGUGGGGAUUCCAAUACCCCCAGGGCCGCAGAUAAAGCAAUACCCCCCCCCCCUGGGGAGUACGCUCGCAAAAUUGAAACUCAAGGGAAUUGCCCGCCCCCCGCACAAGCGGUGGGGUAUGUGUUUUAAUUCAAAGAAAAGCCAAAAACCUUACCGGGUUUUGACUUCCCCCUGACCAUACAAGAGAUAGCUCUUCCCUUCGGGGGAGAGGUGACAGGUGUGCUU
rnacentral:rRNA from 1 species